GUGGGGAAUAUUGCACAAUGGGCGCAAGCCUGAUGCAGCAACGCCGCGUGAGCGAUGAAGGUCUUCGGAUUGUAAAGCUCUGUCCUUGAGGACGAAAACUGACGGUACUCUUGGAGGAAGCCCCGGCUAACUACGUGCCAGCAGCCGCGGUAAUACGUAGGGGGCGAGCGUUAUCCGGAAUUAUUGGGCGUAAAGAGUACGUAGGUGGUUUUGUAAGCGUAGGGUGAAAGCCCGGGGCUCAACUCCGGCGAGCCCUACGAACUGCAAGACUUGAGUGCAGGAGGGGAAAGUGGAAUUCCUGGUGUAGCGGUGAAAUGCGUAGAUAUCAGGAGGAACACCGGUGGCGAAGGCGACUUUCUGGACUGUAACUGACACUGAGGUACGAAAGCGUGGGGAGCAAACAGG
rnacentral:rRNA from 1 species